UAACCACUCAAGCCUAGCUUGGUAUUGGGGUUCGCGUGCUCGCGGCCCUUAAAAUCAGUGGCGGUGCCGUCUGGCUCUAAGCGUAGUAAUUCUCUCGCUAUAGAGUCUCGGCGGUUGCUUGCCAGAACCCCCCACUUUUAA
rnacentral:misc_RNA from 1 species